rnacentral:rRNA from 1 species
GUAGGUGGCAAGCGUUGUCCGGAAUUAUUGGGCGUAAAGCGCGCGCAGGCGGUCCUUUAAGUCUGAUGUGAAAGCCCACGGCUCAACCGUGGAGGGUCAUUGGAAACUGGGGGACUUGAGUACAGAAGAGGAAAGCGGAAUUCCAAGUGUAGCGGUGAAAUGCGUAGAGAUUUGGAGGAACACCAGUGGCGAAGGCGGCUUUCUGGUCUGUAACUGACGCUGAGGCGCGAAAGCGUGGGUAGCAAACAGGGAUUAGAUACCCUGGUAGUCCACGCCGUAAACGAUGAGUGCUAAGUGUUAGGGGGUUUCCCGCCCCCUUAGUGCUGCAGCUAACGCAUUAAGCACUCCGCCUGGGGAGUACGGCCGCAAGGCUG